rnacentral:miRNA from 1 species
CAUGGAAUAUCGGCACCCAUC